CAUCUGGAUAUGAUAUUUUGAUCUGAGAGACUACUCUGCACUAUCUCAUUCUAGAGACUACGUCGGACCAUCUACAUCGGAGAUUAUGAAAUUUCGCUGCAAAAUUGACGACAUGGGAGGCCGAGAUGGACCAAAGCUUCGAAGAUUGGGGUUUCUGGCGAGGCGAGCAUACGAACCGUCGUCGUCGCCCUUGGUGUUCGCAUCACGACGAUCUCCGAGAAAUUUGCAUGAAAUUUUCGAAAGCGUAGCCUUGUUUUAGAUCGAAGAAAUUUGUGCAUACGAACCGUCGUCGUCGGCCUUAGUGUUCGCAUCACGAGGAGGGAUCUGCUAGAAAUUUGCAUGAAAUCUUCGAAAGCAUAGCAUGGAAGAAGCUUGUGAUCGGCCUCGAUCUCCGAGACCUUGGCUGGGCCGUGUAAAGAGAAGCAUCUUCAGGCCCAUUCAUUGCAUAGCUUCCACUUCCAUCAAGAUCUUCAGAGACCUUUUGUAAAGCUUCAAAAUGCAAAAAGGGCAUUGACUACAGGGAUGGUAGCGACUGAGAAGGCUUGGGAUCUUUAGAUGAUAAUGAUGAUGAAGAAAGCGACUUGGCUGAAUGAUAACUUUUUUGUUUGUUUGGUUUUUGGUGUAUGUGCACCUGUUUCUUUUUUCUGCUUUUAUCAAGUUUCAGGUGAUAUAAUGAAUGAGGACGUUGGUUUACUGAGAAAACUUGAUUUGAAUUUGAAACAUGACACUAACACGACUUAAUACCAA